GAAGUUGUCUUAGCUGAGAACGGGAGGCUAAAGUAUUUAGAGCGCAUUGCUCAGAGAUUUGUUGAUUUGACUAUGGCACACAGAGGAGAAGUUAAAGUCAUUGUGACUUCAGUGAUUCCACUUCCUGAGCAAGAGGAAAAAGAGCUGAAGCAAACACUGCAAGACAUCCUCGGA